AUUGAACGCUGGCGGAAUGCUUUACACAUGCAAGUCGAACGGCAGCACGGACUUCGGUCUGGUGGCGAGUGGCGAACGGGUGAGUAAUGUAUCGGAACGUGCCCAGUCGUGGGGGAUAACGUAGUGAAAAUUACGCUAAUACCGCAUACGAUCUAUGGGUGAAAGCGGGGGAUCGCAAGACCUCGCGCGAUUGGAGCGGCCGAUAUCAGAUUAGGUAGUUGGUGGGGUAAAGGCCCACCAAGCCAACGAUCUGUAGCUGGUCUGAGAGGACGACCAGCCACACUGGAACUGAGACACGGUCCAGACUCCUAGGGGAGGCGGCAGUGGGGAAUUUUGGACAAUGGGCGAAAGCCUGAUCCAGCCAUUCCGCGUGCAGGAUGAAGGCCCUCGGGUUGUAAACUGCUUUUGUACAGAACGAAAAGGUUUCUACUAAUACUAGGAGCUCAUGACGGUACUGUAAGAAUAAGCACCGGCUAAUUACGUGCCAGCAGCCGCCGUAA
rnacentral:rRNA from 1 species